GGAGCCCUGGGCAGCUGCCUGGACUGGCCGGAGAGCACCCUACCCCGCUACUGGGAAGACCUGCCAGAGCUUCCCCGCGCCACCUACGACGAGGAGCCCGUAGGAGCUUCCCCGCUACCGUGCUCUUACCCCGAGGAACCCCCGGAGCAGGAUUGGCCGGACUUCCCCGGGGAACUACCCGAUCUACCCCCCAGCCCGGGUUGUGAGGAGCCCAUGCAGUGGGACUUCCCGGGACCAGACGCCGUGGACCAGGCUGUCAUUAGACACCCUGGCACUUCCUCAUUCAUUAAUGACUCGUGUUCCAACAACCUAGCUAUGAAAGAGGCUCCACGCUCACCUGCAGUAUCAUUCCUGAAAGCCUGGCUACUUGUAAGCAGACCCCUCCCAAGUGCAAGUGGACAUCUUGUCCCUACCCUAGCACACCCACACAGCCUUUGCAGGAGCUGCAGCGGCUACCAUUGGCAGGCAUGAAGAGCAAUAGAGCUGUACGCCAAUCAUCGUGUGUUGUUUGUCCCCCUUCAUAGCCAACCCACAGGCAAUGUGUCUGUUGCAGCAGUCAGCUACAAGAAGUGGUCCUUUAGUUCAAGCUGCAGAGGCUCAUUUUUAGCUCAGGAAGUUCCCUCGUUCAGUUCACCGUGUUGGAUGAGAUAACGCAAGUCAUGCUUCUUCCAGGCAGGCCUGCCUAUCCCACUCUGAGAGACAAGGUGGGUGAGGUCAUACUUUGUAUGGAACCAAUUUCUGUUGUCAAGAGAGACAAGCAUAUGAGCUGACACAGAGCUUUUCUCCUGAGUCGGGAACACACAAGCUUUACCUGGUGCUGUGAGCAAGCCAUCCGCUUAGCUCCGAGUCAACAUUUUCAGAGAUGCCCAGCCUGCAAUACCAUGGCAGGUAGCUUGCAGCUCAGGCUGAGGUGCACCACCAUUGCUGUGUCACGCAUUCUUCAGCUUCGCUCGAGUCCUUGGGCAUUUCUACAUGGUGCCAUCUUCACAGGCUGUAGGAUAUUUAAGCAAUAAUGGUCACCGAGGGGAGGUGUUUCCUGGCAGACAACGACAACUAGGUGAGGUUAAAUGCCUGUAGCCAUCUAUGAAGUGCCCAAUUAACUGCCUCAUGCCCACCCUAGCAUGUCUUAUUGUUAUUAUUAGGGUCUCACCACUUAAUUUAACAAGACUUAACUAGUUGUUAUAUUUUGGCCACAUCCCUUCCACCUCACCCCACUCCCACCUAAGCCUUCCUCCCCACCCUGAGUCACAUCACCCUUCCACCUCCAAAGACCUGUUCCCCCAGCCAUUCGUCUCCAACCCCAUCACCCCCUCUCCCCCCAUGACAUUCUCUCUCACCUCCAGAUGCACGCCCCCUCCCCAAGCUACCCCAUCACUUUAAAACAACCUUCUUACACCCACACAGCCACCCUAGUCACCUUCCCCUCGCACUCCUCUAUGACACAUCACCUCAAAACCACCACCUCCGUUCACCUCGUCACAUGUCCCCUUAUUUCCCAUGCCUCAGGGACAGAUCCACCAUCUGACUCCCCCAUAAUUGUCAGUCCCUCCCUCCUGCCACCAGGGCUCCCACCCCAAUCAUGACAAUCUUAAGAAAAGUGUCCUGGUUUGGUGGAAUUCAAAAUCUGUUCACCUUUAGCUGUUAAAAUGUCUUUCACUUUCCUGAGUACUAAAAAUGCCUGUGGAGAUCAAUCACACAGAGAGAGAAAGAGAGAGAAGCAAAGGCAUAAAAGGCAGAGCAGAGUGCAUUUAAGCCACGUCUGCACUUAGAGCUGGACUCCUUGGACAUGUACUCAGGGUGGCUAGCUUGUGCCACUGCUCACUACUGCUUGUAAUACUGUGAAUACACUGCUAUUUUUAGCGUGCUAGCUUUGACGAGAACUAAUGCAAGAAGGUUUACAUGAGCUGAGAAUCCCGGUCCUAGCUCCAAGUGUAGGCAUAGCCUUAGGGGGAUUUGGUAAAUAGUGUAGGCACAAAAAUUUGACCUGCCUUCAAACUAUUAAGAUCUUGUGCAGAACAACCCACAGAUUGUCAGUAUCUGUAGAUGAUGAGGUGGAAACUGGCAGGUACAGAGCACAGAGGAGAGACUGUGCAGCCAAUGUAGAGAAAGAGACACUUUCUACUCCAGUGUCCCUAAUAGGAGGAAUUCUCUCCAAUUAUCAGGAAUCUUAAAAGAAGAGUGCUCACCAAAAAGUUAUUAGAAAAACCAGUGCCUGACCCUGGGAGAUAGGAGAGAGAUGCCAAACAUGGCAUCAUGCCUCCAGAUCAGGAGUGGGCACUAAUGACAAAGGGGGAUCAAACCCCAGACACAGUGUGUAAGCUAUCCUGGGUGGGUGGUACCUGCCUUCAACAGAUACCCCAGGGGUCUGUCUUUUCCUUACCCUUUGCCUACACUCAUAUAGCUUGUGCUGCCAAUAAAGUCUCAAUGAAUUAAA